rnacentral:rRNA from 1 species
GACGAAGGUGGCGAGCGUUGUUCGGAAUCACUGGGCAUAAAGCGCACGUAGGCGGUGCCGUAAGUCGGAUGUGAAAUCCCUCGGCCUAACCGAGGAACUGCGUCCGAUACUGCGGUGCUUGAGGAUCAGAGGGGUGCAUGGAAUUUCCGGUGGAGCGGUGAAAUGCGUUGAUAUCGGAAGGAACUCCGGCGGCGAAAGCGAUGCACUGGCUGAUUUCUGACGCUGAGGUGCGAAAGUCAGGGGAGUAAACGGG